rnacentral:lncRNA from 1 species
ACAAUACUCAUCCAGGCGGAUGGCCCACCAGCGCAAAGAGGGCUGAAAAGUUCCAUGGCAGCCUCAUAACUGGAGGGUGUGUCCAUGAAGAGGGUUUCGAUGACACGCUGAAAGCUUGGGCAGAUCUCUGCGGAAGCUGCAACACAGAGGAGAGAAGGCACAUGUCUCCAGGCCCCUUUCCAAGCUGGCUAGCUCUCUGGCUGGGUCUGCCCAGAUGCAAACAGCCAGGCCCAUCAGCGAGAGAUAGCAGCCAUUUCAUCGAUGGACUAGAGUGUAAGAUUUGUGGAUUGCCCGAGUCUUCCUUAGACUUCUUGGGUUGAGGUGAGCAAGGUGCCGUUUUUCUUUCUGUUAGAGAUCAAGGCAGAGUAUUGAUCAUAGAAGCUGCUGGCCUGAUUUUUUAAUGCAGUGUGGAGGCUGGGAAGAGGCCACUGAGGGUUUUGUUUCCCACCAGAAACUUGCCUCUCAUCAGUGGUUAGAGAUGCCCUGAGCCAUGCUUCACUGGGGGCAUGUG